rnacentral:rRNA from 1 species
UACGUAGGCAGCGAGCGUUGUUCGGAAUUACUGGGCGUAAAGAGUGUGUAGGCGGUGCUCUAAGUUCGGUGUGAAAUCUCCUGGCUCAACUGGGAGGGUGCGCCGGAAACUGGAGUGCUUGAGCGUGGGAGAGGAAAGCGGAAUUCCUGGUGUAGCGGUGAAAUGCGUAGAUAUCUGGAGGAACACCGGUGGCGAAGGCGGCAUCCUGGACCGGCAUUGACGCUGAGGAGCGAAAGCGUGGGGAGCGAACAGG